UACGAAGGGGGCUAGCGUUGUUCGGAAUCACUGGGCGUAAAGCGCACGCAGGUGGACCGAUAAGUCGGGGGUGAAAGCCCGGGGCUCAACCUCGGAAUUGCAUUCGAUACUGUCGGUCUCGAGUCCAGGAGAGGUGAGUGGAAUUCCUAGUGUAGAGGUGAAAUUCGUAGAUAUUAGGAAGAACACCAGUGGUGAAGACGGCUCACUGGACCGGUACUGACGCUCAGGUGCGAAAGCGUGGGGAGCAAACAGG
rnacentral:rRNA from 1 species